GAUCUCACCCAAACCAUCGCGAACGCCACCUAAACCGUUGCUUCGGCGGGCGGGGGGGCGCCUUGGGCCCUCGGGCCCGGGCACCGCCUCCCCCCCGGCCCCUCCGCGGGCGCCCGCCGGAGGUACCCCAAACUCUUGAUACCAUUCCGGCCUCUCUGAGUCUCCUGUACUGAAUAAGUCAAAACUUUCAACAACGGAUCUCUUGGUUCUGGCAUCGAUGAAGAACGCAGCGAAAUGCGAUAAGUAAUGUGAAUUGCAGAAUUCAGUGAAUCAUCGAAUCUUUGAACGCACAUUGCGCCCGCCAGUACUCUGGCGGGCAUGCCUGUUCGAGCGUCAUUUCGACCAUCAAGCCCCCGGGCUUGUGCUGGGGACCUGCGGCUGCCCGCAGGCCCUGAAAACCAGUGGCGGGCUCGCUGUCACACCGAGCGUAGUAGCAAUCACCUCGCUCCGGGCGUGCCGCGGUGCUCCUGCCGUUAAACCACACAACGACCAAAGGUUGACCUCGGAUCAGGUAGGAAGACCCGCUGAACUUAAGCAUAUCAAUAAGCGGAGGAA
rnacentral:rRNA from 1 species